GAUGAACGCUGGCGGCGUGCCUAAUACAUGCAAGUCGAGCGAACAGACGAGGAGCUUGCUCCUCUGACGUUAGCGGCGGACGGGUGAGUAACACGUGUAUAACCUACCUAUAAGUCUGGGAUAACUUCGGGAAACGGGAGCUAAUACCGGAUAAUAUAUUGAACCGCAUGGUGCAAUAGUGAAAGACGGUGUUGCUGUCUCUUAUAGCUGGAUCCGCGCCGCAUUAGCUAGUUGGUAAGGUAACGGCCUACCAAGGCAACGAUGCGUAGACGACCUGAGAGAGUGGUCGGCCACCCGAGAAGUGAGACACGGUCCAGACGCCUGAGGGAGGCACCAGUAGGGAAUGUGCCGCAGUAGGCGGAAGCAUGGCGGAGCAACGCCACGUGAGUGAUGACGGUCUUCGGAUCGUAAAACUCUGUUAUUAGGGAAGAACAAAUGUGUAAGUAACCAUGGACGUCUUGACGGUAACUAGUCAGAAAGCCACGGCUAACUACGUG
rnacentral:rRNA from 1 species